AUACAUGCAAGUCGAGCGGACAGAUGGGAGCUUGCUCCCUGAUGUUAGCGGCGGACGGGUGAGUAACACGUGGGUAACCUGCCUGUAAGACUGGGAUAACUCCGGGAAACCGGGGCUAAUACCGGAUGGUUGUUUGAACCGCAUGGUUCAAACAUAAAAGGUGGCUUCGGCUACCACUUACAGAUGGACCCGCGGCGCAUUAGCUAGUUGGUGAGGUAACGGCUCACCAAGGCAACGAUGCGUAGCCGACCUGAGAGGGUGAUCGGCCACACUGGGACUGAGACACGGCCCAGACUCCUACGGGAGGCAGCAGUAGGGAAUCUUCCGCAAUGGACGAAAGUCUGACGGAGCAACGCCGCGUGAGUGAUGAAGGUUUUCGGAUCGUAAAGCUCUGUUGUUAGGGAAGAACAAGUACCGUUCGAAUAGGGCGGUACCUUGACGGUACCUAACCAGAAAGCCACGGCUAACUACGUGCCAGCAGCCGCGGUAAUACGUAGGUGGCAAGCGUUGUCCGGAAUUAUUGGGCGUAAAGGGCUCGCAGGCGGUUUCUUAAGUCUGAUGUGAAAGCCCCCGGCUCAACCGGGGAGGGUCAUUGGAAACUGGGGAACUUGAGUGCAGAAGAGGAGAGUGGAAUUCCACGUGUAGCGGUGAAAUGCGUAGAGAUGUGGAGGAACACCAGUGGCGAAGGCGACUCUCUGGUCUGUAACUGACGCUGAGGAGCGAAAGCGUGGGGAGCGAACAGGAUUAGAUAC
rnacentral:rRNA from 1 species